UCGGGAAUUUUGGGCAAUGGGGGAAACCCUGACCCAGCAACGCCGCGUGAAGGAUGAAGUAUUUCGGUAUGUAAACUUCGAAAGAAUAGGAAGAAUAAAUGACGGUACUAUUUAUAAGGUCCGGCUAACUACGUGCCAGCAGCCGCGGUAAUACGUAGGGACCAAGCGUUGUUCGGAUUUACUGGGCGUAAAGGGCGCGUAGGCGGCAUGACAAGUCACUUGUGAAAUCUCUGGGCUUAACCUAGGAACUGCAAUUAAGACUGUCCAUCUAGAGUUGAGUAGAGGGGAGCGGAAUUUCCGGUGUAGCGGUGAAAUGCGUAGAUAUCGGAAGGAACAUCAGUUGCGAAGGCGGCUCUCUGGACUCAAACUGACGCUGAGGCACGAAAGCGUGGGUAGCGAACAGGAUUAGAUACCCAAGUAGUCCCUGAGCGGGCUGGCAAGGCGCAU
rnacentral:rRNA from 1 species